rnacentral:misc_RNA from 1 species
GAUGAAGAACGCAGCGAAAUGCGUUAAGUAAUGUGAAUUGCAGAAUUCAGUGAAUCAUCGAAUCUUUGAACGCACCUUGCACCCUUUGGCAUUCCGAAGGGUAAGCUCGUUUGAGUGUCAUUGUACUCUCACACUUCCAAUCUUUGGAUUGGGGGCGGUGGACUUGGGUGUUGCUGCUUACUGUGGCUCACCUCAAAUUGAUUCGUGCACCUCUUGGUUGGACAUAGUACGGCGUGAUAAGUGUCUUCGCCGGCACCUCAGUAGAGGGUGGCUGAUCGGGAGCUCUGUGCUUCAAACCGUCCUCGGACAACAACUGACAACUUGACCUCAAAUCGAGUAGGACUACCCGCUGAACUUAAGCAUAUCAAUAAGCGGAGGA